AGCGGCGGACGGGUGAGUAACGCGUGGGUAACCGUGCCUCAUACAGGGGGAUAACAGUUGGAAACGGCUGCUAAUACCGCAUAAGCGCACAGUACCGCAUGGUACCGUGUGAAAAACUCCGGUGGUAUGAGAUGGACCCGCGUCUGAUUAGCUAGUUGGUGGGGUAACGGCCUACCAAGCGACGAUCAGUAGCCGACCUGAGAGGGUGACCGGCCACAUUGGGACUGAGACACGGCCCAA
rnacentral:rRNA from 1 species